AUACAGAGGGUGCGAGCGUUAAUCGGAAUUACUGGGCGUAAAGCGCGCGUAGGCGGCUUAUUAAGUCAGAUGUGAAAUCCCCGGGCUCAACCUGGGAACUGCAUCUGAUACUGGUAAGCUAGAGUUUGGGAGAGGGAAGUAGAAUUUCAGGUGUAGCGGUGAAAUGCAUAGAGAUCUGAAGGAAUACCAGUGGCGAAGGCGACUUCCUGGCCUAAAACUGACGCUGAGGUGCGAAAGCGUGGGUAGCAAACGGGAUUAGAGACCCCGGUAGUCC
rnacentral:rRNA from 1 species